rnacentral:tRNA from 1 species
GCCGGGGUGGCGGAAUUGGUAGACGCGCCGGACUCAAAAUCCGGUAUGGGCGACCAUGUGAGAGUUCGAGUCUCUCCCUCGGCACCA